AGGACGAACGCUGGCGGCGCGCUUAACACAUGCAAGUCGAGCGAGAACCUUUCCUUCGGGAUUGGGGACAGCGGCGAACGGGUGAGUAACACGUGGGUAAUCUGCCCUUGACAUCGGGAUAGCCCGGGGAAACCCGGAUUAAUACCGAAUAGCCUCCGGAGCCCUCGGGCGCCGGAGAAAAGGUAGCUUCGGCCUCUGGUCAAGGAUGAGCCCGCGGCGGAUUAGCUUGUUGGCGGGGUAAUGGCCCACCAAGGCGACGAUCCGUAGCUGGUCUGAGAGGACGAUCAGCCACACUGGGACUGAGACACGGCCCAGACUCCUACGGGAGGCAGCAGUGGGGAAUCUUGCGCAAAUGCGGGAAACCGUGACGCAGCGACGCCGCGUGGGGGAAGAAGGCCUUCGGGUUGUAAACCUCUUUCAGGAGGGACGAAGCUACUCGGGUUAAUAGCUCAGAGGGUGACGGUACCUUCAGAAGAAGCCCGGCUAACUACGUGCCAGCAGCCGC
rnacentral:rRNA from 1 species